ACUGUUUGUCCUAAAGGACAGGAAGAUGGAUUCAAUGAAAGACGAAUAAUAUUUGCUUAGAAACGUUCCUGUUGUUUUUCCGUACUUUUUGGUUUGCGUUGUUUACUCUUUGCAAAACACUGAUUGUCCUCUGCUCUUUACAUUUUUGAGGUUCAAUGACAAUUUGCCUCUUGAGUUCCACAUAACCAUGAACUGCUGUGCAUAAUUGCUCAUACCCCACUAAGUUCAUAUGUAUAAAUCGGGUGGGUUGGAGUUUGCUGUGAAAGUCCUGAAAAAACAUGGAGGACGAUGACAGAUUAGAUAGUGCAGAGGAAAAUAAUAUAUGGUGCAUCUGGCCUAUCCCAGUUUGCCAUUUUGAAAAAGAAACAAAAUCUAUCUGUUAAUUUGAGCGUAUGUUGAAUAUAACAAUACUCAGUUUGGUGCACAUUGCUGAUUUUUAUGGUGGUAUGUGAUAAGAUUUCUGAACUUCAAUUUUACCGUAGAGCACAAAAGAAUAUAAUAAGUUAUAUGUAUGAGAUCAGGUUCGUUUGUGAUUCUAAAAUAGGGACCUAAUUUAUUUGUCUUGCUCACUGUAAUUAACUAGAAACAUAUAUUGCUAAUAAUUGGAAUUUCUGUUGAAACUCAGCUCAAGCUUAAUAAACAUUGAGAGCAGUGAUGUUUUCUUUUAUUGUCGAGAGUGCGGAAGAAAUCUGAAUAAUCAAAUUUCAAGCUCAAAUUCCAUAUUGUUUUCAGGUGUAUGAAACACUUCCUUUCAAAUUCAAAAGCAGCUAUGUUGGGUAUUUGAGAAUGGUGGCAUCACGACAUGAGGAUACGACUCUCUGGCAAUUGGUUAUACUCCCUUCUCUAUUUUUUAUUGCUGGAUAUAUUGACGUAUAAUGUGUGGGCAAUUUUUUUGCUUGGUUCUUCAGGCUGCAUUGCAAUAGCUGGGGAGGUGUUGGAGAGGAACGGGAAUUGUACAGCUGCAGUCUCCUGUAAUCAUCCUCCCUAAACUUCCGUAUGUUAUUUUUGCAUUUGUUGUACUGAACUGAAAUUUAAUAUUUGUAGUCCUCGGGUUUUAAUUAAUUUGGAAACCUAAAUUUUGUACAUCUUUGUAACAUCCCAAAUUUUUAAA